AGCGAACGCUGGCGGCGUGCUUAACACAUGCAAGUCGAACGAAGGCUUCGGCCUUAGUGGCGGACGGGUGAGUAACGCGUGGGAAUCUACCUUACGGCGGGGAAUAACUUCGGGAAACUGAAGCUAAUACCGCAUACGCUCUACGGAGGGAAGGCUUCGGCCACCGUUUGAGGAUCCCGCGUCCGAUUAGCUAGUUGGUAGGGUAACGGCCUACCAAGGCGACGAUCGUUAGCUGGGCUGAGAGGAUGAUCAGCCACACUGGGACUGAGACACGGCCCAGACUCCUACGGGAGGCAGCAGUGGGGAAUAUUGGACAAUGGGGGAAACCCUGAUCCAGCGACGCCGCGUGAAUGAUGAAGGCCUUAGGGUUGUAAAGUUCUUUCGUCCGUGACGAUGAUGACAGUAGCGGAAGAAGAAGCUCCGGCUAACUUCGUGCCAGCCGCCGCCGUAACAC
rnacentral:rRNA from 1 species